rnacentral:rRNA from 1 species
AUACGGAGGAUCCGAGCGUUAUCCGGAUUUAUUGGGUUUAAAGGGUGCGCAGGCGGCCAUUUAAGUCAGCGGUUAAAUCGUGGGGCUCAACCCCAUUCUGCCGUUGAUACUGGGUGGCUUGAUUGCGGUCGAGGUAGGCGGAAUUCGUUGUGUAGCGGUGAAAUGCAUAGAUAUGACGAAGAACACCGAUUGCGUAGGCAGCUGACCAGACCGCAAAUGACGCUCAUGCACGAAAGUGCGGGGAUCGAACAGGAUUAGAUACCCUGGUAGUCCGCACAGUAAACGAUGAAUACUUGUUUUCGGCGAUAUAAUGUCGGAGGCAAAGCGAAAGCGAUAAGUAUUCCACCUGGGGAGUACGCCGGCAACGGUGAAACUCAAAUGAAUUGACGGGG